GAACUAACCAGGAUUCCCCUAGUAACGGCGAGUGAAGAGGGAGAAGCCCAGCACCGAAGCCUGCGGCAGCUUUGCUGUUAGGCAAUGUGGUGUUUGGGUCGGCUCGUGGGACUACCGCUCCACUCGAAGUCCAGCAUUGAGUAUGGUUACUGGAUUUGGCCCAGAGAGGGUGAAAGGCCCGUACGGGUGGAGUAUCAGACAUGUGAGGUGGUUCACCAGGUCGACCUUAGAGUCGGGUUGUUUGGGAAUGCAGCCCAAAGCGGGUGGUAAACUCCAUCCAAGGCUAAAUACUAGCACGAGUCCGAUAGCGAACAAGUACCGUGAGGGAAAGUUGAAAAGUACUCUGAAGAGAGAGUAAACAGUACGUGAAACCGCAUGCAGGUAAACGGGUGGCGUCAAGCUGCAAGCCCGGAGAAUUCAGUCGGCUAGGGUGUUGUGUAUGCGCCUGGCGCAUCCAUCAGUCAGAGUAUGAUUGGGUAGUCCACCAGUAAACGGUGGGCCUGGCCGCUAGUUGGUCAGGAUGUGUGUACCGGGUGGAUGCCGGAGCAUGCUAUCCGUCUGUGGACUGUCUAGCCGGUGCACUUUCUCCGUGGUCAACACCACGACCGGUGGUAUUGCCAGUCUACUGUGUCCAAGUCGUACUUGGUGGGUCCUCGCGGCCUACUGGGUGCGAUCACAGGCAAACUCAGUGAACGGCGCAGUGGUGUUUCGGCACUUUUGCGUGCUAUCGGCUGCUGGUUGCCAACGGGCCUGCCUAGUGUUUGUUGCUACUAACACGGGGUGGUCCGGUGGGGCAUGGUGGUAAGAAUAACUGUGCAAGGCACCGGGGUUGUCGGCCUCAAAUGCGUCCUGCGCACACGUAGCAAGUGGUUAUCGGCGGUGUCGCGGCUGCCUGCUCGGUGCUGGGUGUGAUUGGCGUGUCGCCUGCGCAAAGUAGGCCCGCUGAUGGCUCGGCCCGAGGUGGGUAGUUGUUGUUGGCGGUGGCUGUCGGUGUGGGACGUGGUGGGCCAAAUAGUCUGUGGUGUAGUGGUAGU
rnacentral:rRNA from 1 species